rnacentral:misc_RNA from 1 species
CAGAUCAACUGUCUAAAUAGGCACAAAAAGGCUUACUAGUCUAAGAAAUAUAUUAUUACUAUAUCAAAUUGUAAAUAAAUGAAUGCAAUAACGCCACCUAUCGGAACCUAAUUGCGUUAUUAGAAAACGUCUGAACGCCAUCUCUAACAAGGUCAUUCAUUCAGUAGAUUUUACUGUUCAAUUUUUUCAUUCCGGGGCCUUAAAUGAAAAUCGAUUCUUAAGGAGAAAACUCCAAAAACAGUCAAGUAAAUACGCCAUAUCAGAUAUAGCUCAAAAAGUUCGAGUCAAAUCUCAAUUAUAUUUAAAUGGGACCACAUGACAAGCACCACCUAUCGAUUAAAAAAAGAAUCAUCGAUAUCGGUCCACCCAGUAAAAUAGUAAUGAGGUUAAUAUAACGUUGGUCGACGUAAAAUAGCCAAGUAAAUACCCAGUAUUAGCGAUAACUCAAAAAUUAAAAGCUCAAAUAUAUUUAUAACGAAUAAACUGCUACUCUCUACUCUAGUGGAAUAUUGUAAUUUGAUCGAUAGUGAACGAAGUAAUUUCAUUACAUUUUGAUAGAUGGCGUUGUGGCAAAGUAUUGAACAUGACCACAGUCGUCUUAACAUCGUCAUGUAAAUACGUGUCAUCAAAGAUUACUCAAAAAUUGCUCAUUAUUAUCUCAAUCAUAUUUAAAACGGACGACAUGACAAGUAUUAGCUUUUGAUUUAUACAAAAAAGAUCAAAAUCAGUGCACCCAGUAAAAAGAUAUAACGUAUAAUACAACGUAGGGUGACGAAAAUAAUGUCAAGUAAAUACGCGUUAUCAAAGAUUAAUCAAAAAGUAGUUAUCAGAUCUCGAUAAAAUUUAUAUGUGACCAUAUGAUAAACAUCAGCUUUCGAUUAAAGUAAAAAUUAUCAAAAUCGAUACACCCAGUAAAAAGUUAUUGCGGAUUUUCAAGAGUUUCUCUCGAUUUCUCUGGGAUCCCAUCAUCAGAUCCUGGUUUCCUUAUCGUGGUACCAAACUAAAGAUAUCCCCUUUCCAACAAAAAAAGAAUUAUCAAAAUCGGUACACCCAGUAGAAAGUUAUGUGGUAUAAUACAACGUAGGUCGACGAAAAAAGCGUCAAGUAAAAACGCAUUAUUAGAUAUAAUUCGAAAAGUAGUUGUUAGAUCUCAAAUAAAUUUAAAUGGGACCAAUCGGCACACACCACCUUUCGAUUAAAACAAAAUUUGUCGAAAUCGGUCUACCUAGUCAAAAGUUCUGAUGUAACAUACAU